rnacentral:rRNA from 1 species
UGCAGAAUCCCGUGAACCAUCGAGUUUUUGAACGCAAGUUGCGCCCGAGGCCAAUUGGCUAAGGGCACGUCCGCCUGGGCGUCAAGCAUUAUGUCGCUUCAUUCGGCACCAAUUGCCCAAUAUUGUGUUGCGGUGCCGGUUCGAAUGCGGAGAGUGGCCCUUCGCGCACACUUGUGCGGCGGGUUGAAGAACGGUUUGCUUUCCUCUGGCCAUGUUUUGAUAAAGGGGUGGAUGUAUGCUGCCAUUUGGCCCACGCUAUCAUCACAUUGUCUCGAGGAGGAUAUUUGUACACAUUCGUGGCUGAUCACCCGACAAAUGUCGAAGGUGGUGGCUUGAAAUGCGACCCCAGGAUGGGCGGGAUGACCCGCUGAGUUUAAGCAUAUCAAUAAGCGGAGGAGAAGAAACUUACCAGGAUUCCCUUAGUAACGGCGAGCGAAGUGGGAUUUGCCCAGCAUGAAAAUCUGGCUGCAAGACAGCUUGA